rnacentral:tRNA from 1 species
GAUAGAGCAGUUUGGUAGCUCGUCGGGCUCAUAACCCGAAGGUCAAUGGUUCAAAUCC